CAAUAAGGCACAAAGCCCACAAGUCUUGAGGCUUCAUGGCCCUUCUCUGACCCAGAGAGCUCCCUACCAUGCCCUUUCUCUGUGACCUCCUCAGCCUUAGCAAUUUCAACUGAAAUUAAGUGACUAGAUGGUGACUGCUGACAUGAUCAGAUCUGGAAUUUUUCUGCUUGUUGACCAGGGACUAUCACUAGGAAACAAUAUCAGAAUUACUUAAUGUGUGAAAAUAUGAUCAGAAAAUAGGAAGCUGUAAAAAGAAAUUUUAUGAAUUUUCCACUAUUGAAAAUGCAAUAUAAAAUUUUAGAUGUCAUAAACAGCAGAUCAGAGAGUGCAGAGUUAAUAUUUGCUGAAUUUGAAGUCUGAACAUCAGACAUCAUCCAAUCAGAACAGCAGCAUACUGAAAGAAGUCAGAAACAGAUGGUUCAUUUGUGUAUAUUUGAGAGAAAAACUGAAAACGGGUCGGAAGAAUAACUGAAGAAAUUACAGAUGAAAACUCUUCCAAUGCCAAUGAAGCCUUACCUGAAUGAUGAAAUUUAUAGGUCACGUAUUUUUUGUGUUAAAUCCUCAAUAGAUUCUCGUUCUUGAUUGCAAGUCUCCUGUGCUGUCAUAUCCCAUACUUUGUAUGACAAGAAGUGAAAUAUAUGAAAAAGGUUCGUGGGUGUGAUUCAGUGCGAGUCCUCCAAAGAGAACCUCUGGAGUGGAAGUCAUUCUCCAUUAGGACCAUGGCUCUUCAAUCUGCCCUGUACUCUCCUCCCAAUUUCUUUAUAUGCUGCAUAUAAAAGACAAUUGACUUAUCAAAA